GAUGGGGACCGCAGCUAGACCAAGCUACUUACAAGAACUGUCAGCGUCUUUAUCUUUCCGAACAGUUGUCAAACCUAGGGUUGCAGCUGCAGAGCACAUAUCACAGUUCAAUGAAGAAGCACGCUCUCCUUUUGUAAAGAAGUAUAAAACUAUAAUACAUCCUGGAGAGGUAU